AGAACGAACGCUGGCGGCAUGCCUAAUACAUGCAAGUCGAACGAACUCUUCGGAGUUAGUGGCGCACGGGUGCGUAACGCGUGGGAAUCUGCCCCUUGGUUCGGAAUAACAGUUGGAAACGACUGCUAAUACCGGAUGAUGACGAAAGUCCAAAGAUUUAUCGCCAAGGGAUGAGCCCGCGUAGGAUUAGCUAGUUGGUGAGGUAAAGGCUCACCAAGGCAACGAUCCUUAGCUGGUCUGAGAGGAUGAUCAGCCACACUGGGACUGAGACACGGCCCAGACUCCGUACGGGAGGCAGCAGUAGGGAAUAUGGACAAGUGGG
rnacentral:rRNA from 1 species